rnacentral:sRNA from 1 species
GCAACGUUAGCACUUGCGAAACCCUCGCC